AGCGAACGCUGGCGGCAGGCUUAACACAUGCAAGUCGAACGGGCGUAGCAAUACGUCAGUGGCAGACGGGUGAGUAACGCGUGGGAACGUACCUUUUGGUUCGGAACAACCCAGGGAAACUUGGGCUAAUACCGGAUAAGCCCUUACGGGGAAAGAUUUAUCGCCGAAAGAUCGGCCCGCGUCUGAUUAGCUAGUUGGUGUGGUAACGGCGCACCAAGGCGACGAUCAGUAGCUGGUCUGAGAGGAUGAUCAGCCACAUUGGGACUGAGACACGGCCCAAACUCCUACGGGAGGCAGCAGUGGGGAAUAUUGGACAAUGGGCGCAAGCCUGAUCCAGCCAUGCCGCGUGAGUGAUGAAGGCCCUAGGGUUGUAAAGCUCUUUUGUGCGGGAAGAUAAUGACGGUACCGCAAGAAUAAGCCCCGGCUAACUUCGUGCCAGCAGCCGCCGU
rnacentral:rRNA from 1 species